rnacentral:misc_RNA from 1 species
ACAUCCUCAACUUUAGAGUACUAGUGUCAAAUGUAAUCCAUUCCUUGUUUAACUUCAUUUGAGCAACUAUCUGUCCUGUGUGGAUGUAAUGCAGCAUAACAAAAUGUCCAACUGACUGCCAAAGUACACAUCACGCUAGCAAUUAUUACAAAAUUAGAAAAAAAUAAAACGAAAUACAAGAAAUUCUAGCAAUUAAGUGAAUAUAUGACAUGGCAUCUCCAAUAUUUUCACGGAUGUUAAUGCAGCACAUCUGUCUUAGAGUGUAGAAUAUGUCAAUGUGACACAUGCCCAUGUUAAACUAGCAAAUGUCCAAAUAAAGCUCAAUGCAACGGAUGACUCUAAUUGACACAUAAA